GACGAACCGUCCUAACGUUGUUCGGAAUCACUGGGCGUAAAGGGCGCGUAGGCGGCCACCGCAAGUCGACUGUGAAAUCUCCGGGCUUAACCCGGAAAGGUCAGCCGAUACUGCGGGGCUAGAGUGCAGAAGGGGCAACUGGAAUUCUCGGUGUAGCGGUGAAAUGCGUAGAUAUCGAGAGGAACACCUGCGGCGAAGGCGGGUUGCUGGGCUGACACUGACGCUGAUGCGCGAAAGCUAGGGGAGCGAACGGG
rnacentral:rRNA from 1 species